rnacentral:misc_RNA from 1 species
GAACGCACAUUGCGCCCGCCAGUAUUCUGGCGGGCAUGCCUGUCCGAGCGUCAUUUCAACCCUCAAGCCCCCGGGCUUGGUGUUGGAGAUCGGCGAGCCCCCCGGGGCGCGCCGUCUCCCAAAUAUAGUGGCGGUCCCGCUGUAGCUUCCUCUGCGUAGUAGCACACCUCGCACUGGGAAACAGCGUGGCCACGCCGUAAAACCCCCCACUUCUGAAAGGUUGACCUCGGAUCAGGUAGGAAUACCCGCUGAACUUAAG